GGGACACGUGGUAUCCUGUCUGAAUAUGGGGGGACCAUCCUCCAAGGCUAAAUACUCCUGACUGACCGAUAGUGAACCAGUACCGUGAGGGAAAGGCGAAAAGAACCCCGGCGAGGGGAGUGAAAAAGAACCUGAAACCGUGUACGUACAAGCAGUGGGAGCACGCUUAGGCGUGUGACUGCGUACCUUUUGUAUAAUGGGUCAGCGACUUAUAUUCUGUAGCAAGGUUAACCGAAUAGGGGAGCCGAAGGGAAACCGAGUCUUAACUGGGCGUUAAGUUGCAGGGUAUAGACCCGAAACCCGGUGAUCUAGCCAUGGGCAGGUUGAAGGUUGGGUAACACUAACUGGAGGACCGAACCGACUAAUGUUGAAAAAUUAGCGGAUGACUUGUGGCUGGGGGUGAAAGGCCAAUCAAACCGGGAGAUAGCUGGUUCUCCCCGAAAGCUAUUUAGGUAGCGCCUCGUGAAUUCAUCUCCGGGGGUAGAGCACUGUUUCGGCAAGGGGGUCAUCCCGACUUACCAACCCGAUGCAAACUGCGAAUACCGGAGAAUGUUAUCACGGGAGACACACGGCGGGUGCUAACGUCCGUCGUGAAGAGGGAAACAACCCAGACCGCCAGCUAAGGUCCCAAAGUCAUGGUUAAGUGGGAAACGAUGUGGGAAGGCCCAGACAGCCAGGAUGUUGGCUUAGAAGCAGCCAUCAUUUAAAGAAAGCGUAAUAGCUCACUGGUCGAGUCGGCCUGCGCGGAAGAUGUAACGGGGCUAAACCAUGCACCGAAGCUGCGGCAGCGACACUAUGUGUUGUUGGGUAGGGGAGCGUUCUGUAAGCCUGUGAAGGUGUACUGUGAGGUAUGCUGGAGGUAUCAGAAGUGCGAAUGCUGACAUAAGUAACGAUAAAGCGGGUGAAAAGCCCGCUCGCCGGAAGACCAAGGGUUCCUGUCCAACGUUAAUCGGGGCAGGGUGAGUCGACCCCUAAGGCGAGGCCGAAAGGCGUAGUCGAUGGGAAACAGGUUAAUAUUCCUGUACUUGGUGUUACUGCGAAGGGGGGACGGAGAAGGCUAUGUUGGCCGGGCGACGGUUGUCCCGGUUUAAGCGUGUAGGCUGGUUUUCCAGGCAAAUCCGGAAAAUCAAGGCUGAGGCGUGAUGACGAGGCACUACGGUGCUGAAGCAACAAAUGCCCUGCUUCCAGGAAAAGCCUCUAAGCAUCAGGUAACAUCAAAUCGUACCCCAAACCGACACAGGUGGUCAGGUAGAGAAUACCAAGGCGCUUGAGAGAACUCGGGUGAAGGAACUAGGCAAAAUGGUGCCGUAACUUCGGGAGAAGGCACGCUGAUAUGUAGGUGAAGCGACUUGCUCGUGGAGCUGAAAUCAGUCGAAGAUACCAGCUGGCU
rnacentral:rRNA from 1 species